AAUCCAUAGGUUAAUGAGGCGAACCGGGGGAACUGAAACAUCUAAGUACCCCGAGGAAAAGAAAUCAACCGAGAUUCCCCCAGUAGCGGCGAGCGAACGGGGAGGAGCCCAGAGCCUGAAUCAGCAUGUGUGUUAGUGGAAGCGUCUGGAAAGGCGCGCGAUACAGGGUGACAGCCCCGUACACAAAAGCGCAUGUGCUGUGAGCUCGAUGAGUAGGGCGGGACACGUGGUAUCCUGUCUGAAUAUGGGGGGACCAUCCUCCAAGGCUAAAUACUCCUGACUGACCGAUAGUGAACCAGUACCGUGAGGGAAAGGCGAAAAGAACCCCGGCGAGGGGAGUGAAAAAGAGCCUGAAACCGUGUACGUACAAGCAGUGGGAGCACCCUUCGGGGUGUGACUGCGUACCUUUUGUAUAAUGGGUCAGCGACUUAUAUUCUGUAGCAAGGUUAACCGUAUAGGGGAGCCGGAGGGAAACCGAGUCUUAACCGGGCGUUAAGUUGCAGGGUAUAGACCCGAAACCCGGUGAUCUAGCCAUGGGCAGGUUGAAGGUUGGGUAACACUAACUGGAGGACCGAACCGACUAAUGUUGAAAAAUUAGCGGAUGACCUGUGGCUGGGGGUGAAAGGCCAAUCAAACCGGGAGAUAGCUGGUUCUCCCCGAAAGCUAUUUAGGUAGCGCCUCGUGAAUUCAUCUCCGGGGGUAGAGCACUGUUUCGGCUAGGGGGCCAUCCCGGCUUACCAACCCGAUGCAAACUGCGAAUACCGGAGAAUGUUAUCACGGGAGACACACGGCGGGUGCUAACGUCCGUCGUGAAGAGGGAAACAACCCAGACCGCCAGCUAAGGUCCCAAAGUCAUGGUUAAGUGGGAAACGAUGUGGGAAGGCCCAGACAGCCAGGAUGUUGGCUUAGAAGCAGCCAUCAUUUAAAGAAAGCGUAAUAGCUCACUGGUCGAGUCGGCCUGCGCGGAAGAUGUAACGGGGCUAAACCAUGCACCGAAGCUGCGGCAGCGAACGUAUCACCCAAGACAACUUUACGGAGUUGACGAUUGACGGAGCGAAGCGACGUCAAAGCGUUCAUUAAAGUCGAGUUGGCUUAGGGAUACGUUCGUUGGGUAGGGGAGCGUUCUGUAAGCCUGUGAAGGUGUGUCGUGAGGCAUGCUGGAGGUAUCAGAAGUGCGAAUGCUGACAUAAGUAACGAUAAAGCGGGUGAAAAGCCCGCUCGCCGGAAGACCAAGGGUUCCUGUCCAACGUUAAUCGGGGCAGGGUGAGUCGACCCCUAAGGCGAGGCCGAAAGGCGUAGUCGAUGGGAAACGGGUUAAUAUUCCCGUACUUGGUGUUACUGCGAAGGGGGGACGGAGAAGGCUAUGUUGGCCGGGCGACGGUUGUCCCGGUUUAAGCGUGUAGGUGUGUGUUCCAGGUAAAUCCGGUUCACUUUAACACUGAGGCGUGACGACGAGGCACUACGGUGCUGAAGCAACAAAUGCCCUGCUUCCAGGAAAAGCCUCUAAGCAUCAGGUAACAUCAAAUCGUACCCCAAACCGACACAGGUGGUCAGGUAGAGAAUACCAAGGCGCUUGAGAGAACUCGGGUGAAGGAACUAGGCAAAAUGGUGCCGUAACUUCGGGAGAAGGCACGCUGACACGUAGGUGAAGUGAUUUACUCAUGGAGCUGAAGUCAGUCGAAGAUACCAGCUGGCUGCAACUGUUUAUUAAAAACACAGCACUGUGCAAACACGAAAGUGGACGUAUACGGUGUGACGCCUGCCCGGUGCCGGAAGGUUAAUUGAUGGGGUCAGCGCAAGCGAAGCUCCUGAUCGAAGCCCCGGUAAACGGCGGCCGUAACUAUAACGGUCCUAAGGUAGCGAAAUUCCUUGUCGGGUAAGUUCCGACCUGCACGAAUGGCGUAAUGAUGGCCAGGCUGUCUCCACCCGAGACUCAGUGAAAUUGAACUCGCUGUGAAGAUGCAGUGUACCCGCGGCAAGACGGAAAGACCCCGUGAACCUUUACUAUAGCUUGACACUGAACAUUGAGCCUUGAUGUGUAGGAUAGGUGGGAGGCUUUGAAGUGUGGACGCCAGUCUGCAUGGAGCCGACCUUGAAAUACCACCCUUUAAUGUUUGAUGUUCUAACGUGGACCCGUAAUCCGGGUUGCGGACAGUGUCUGGUGGGUAGUUUGACUGGGGCGGUCUCCUCCUAAAGAGUAACGGAGGAGCACGAAGGUUGGCUAAUCCUGGUCGGACAUCAGGAGGUUAGUGCAAUGGCAUAAGCCAGCUUGACUGCGAGCGUGACGGCGCGAGCAGGUGCGAAAGCAGGUCAUAGUGAUCCGGUGGUUCUGAAUGGAAGGGCCAUCGCUCAACGGAUAAAAGGUACUCCGGGGAUAACAGGCUGAUACCGCCCAAGAGUUCAUAUCGACGGCGGUGUUUGGCACCUCGAUGUCGGCUCAUCACAUCCUGGGGCUGAAGUAGGUCCCAAGGGUAUGGCUGUUCGCCAUUUAAAGUGGUACGCGAGCUGGGUUUAGAACGUCGUGAGACAGUUCGGUCCCUAUCUGCCGUGGGCGCUGGAGAACUGAGGGGGGCUGCUCCUAGUACGAGAGGACCGGAGUGGACGCAUCACUGGUGUUCGGGUUGUCAUGCCAAUGGCACUGCCCGGUAGCUAAAUGCGGAAGAGAUAAGUGCUGAAAGCAUCUAAGCACGAAACUUGCCCCGAGAUGAGUUCUCCCUGAGACUUAGAGUCUCCUGAAGGAACGUUGAAGACGACGACGUUGAUAGGCCGGGUGUGUAAGCGCAGCGAUGCGUUGAGCUAACCGGUACUAAUGAACCGUGAGGCUUAACCUUACAAC
rnacentral:rRNA from 1 species